CCACCUUGUUGUAAUUUUUUAGGAGACAACACAACAUUUAAUUUCUCUACCGUGGACAGCAUUCACGUUACAAACAUGAGUAAUUCACCCAGUGCCAGUUCUCCUAAAUUCAAAAAUUUAAGGAAGAAACAAAGAAGCUCACCUAUGGAAUUAAAAGAAAAAAUACGGAAGAACUACAAGGACAAGAUUCAAAAUUGCCGUGAAACCCUAAUGAAUAGGUUUCGUGGCACAGUAGAGGAAUUCGCUCUUCACAAUACUUUGACUGAAAUAUAUAAUAAUAUGUUUGACUUAUCAAAUGUGCCUCAAGUUGAUGAUGAAGACGUAGAAGUUUUAGAAGAAAUAAAAAAUGAACUGAUUCAGGAGGAAAUGGACUGGUAUUUGGAAGAAUAUGAAAAGUCUCAAGUGGAUGUUGAUUGGUCAACAAUUGAACAAGAAAAUAAUGUAAUAUGUCCAAUUUGUCAGAAAAAAAAUCUUUGUCUUGAAAACUGUGACCUAACUUGCUUACAUUGUAAAAUCACUAUAAAAACCGAUAAAUCAUUAGCUGAUGUUAAAAAAUCAAUUUUAUAUUCAUUAGAAAAACAUAGUGCAUUAUGCAACCAUGAAUUCCAAUUUGUCUUAGUACCAGAAUCACAUGAAAGUCACAUCUACUUAAUUUGUAGUGGUUGUCAAGAAAUGCAAAUUGUUGUUUGAUUUGAUGUUUAAAAAUAAGAUUUAAGUGAUAUAUUUUUUAAACUAAAAAACCAUUAUUUGGGUCUAAUUUGAUAGAAAUAAUAAUUGUUUGUAUCUAUUGAGUCAUAGAUACAUACAUACAUUAACCCUGGACCUUAAAAUAAAAUGUUUGAAAAUACACCUGCAACUUAUUUUUUGAACAACUUAUUCACUAUUUUGUUUAUUCUUUAGAAUUUUAAUUUUAAUAAAAUGAAAAUAACUUAUUCAUAUCGAUUGUUUAAUCAUUUUUGUAAAUAUUUUAAUAAAUUAAAUUUAAUUGUUUACUUA